GGUCUGAGUCUUAGAUUGUGCCACUGGA
rnacentral:sRNA from 1 species